CGUAGGUGUUAAACUCAGUACGUUCGUGAACGAUAAAUCUUUCGGUUCACGCGAUCAUAUAAUAUCUCUCUGCCAAGUGUCCGAAAAACUUGAAUUUAGAAAUCUGCUGUGUGUAACAACUGAUUGGUUACAUUGAGAUUUAUUUCUGAGAAAAUAAUUACGUUCCGCGGGAAUUACGCUGUUAUGAAUCAAUUUUAUAAAGACUUUCCUGCAUUGCGAUAUGUGAAACUGAUCAAGUAAUUUCCUUUACUACGCUUUUUAUGAAAUUCAAAUGAAAUCGAUGAUCAGAAGUUCUUUAAAACAUUCCUAAUACACAGUGGGAGUUAUUGUUUUAAUAGACAGGCUCAGUAUAUACGAAAAAAAAAUAUUUUGUACAACUAUAUAUAUAAUAAAACAAUAAUUAUUAGACUUGAUCAAUAGUAAACUACCGAAUAUUAGUAAAGAGGCGACAUAUCUUAUCACGCAGCAUGUGCAUAUGCAUUACUUACUGAACGCCUGAAGACAGCGGAAGAAUAAAGUACCCUGAACACCAAAGAAACAUUCUACACAACUUACAAAAUCGAUAAAUGACCACGUGUACUGCGUAACAAUUCAUUACUGACUGGAUGUGAAUGAGAAGAUCGACCAGUUGCAUAAUUCCUGCAUCAAGAGAAAAUAUAUACAAACACUUAAAGUGAUUUAGUUCGGGCGAACUGUUCUAAGAAACUAGAAAUAAUGCCACAAUGUUAUCAACUUCAUAAGUCACUAU